UCCCCCCCACAAUCACCGCUGCGGAAGCAUGGUCACAGCACGAGCAGCCACUCCACCGCAAGACUCCAACGAAAGGACCUUGAGCACCUCGCCCCAAUAAUUACAAUUCGGGGAGGGGGGAGUGGCAGUGAUCAUGCUCCCAAUCUCCAAGGCUGAGCGGUGCCAUCGACGCUGCGUGGAGCUAAGCAGAAACAACAGCUCUGGCACCCAGUUCUCCUGCCCCAGGCAAAAGGCAUGGCCGAGCCACAGGAUGACCUCUGAACUACAAAGACCAGCAAUCCCUGCAAUGUACAUCCCUUAAGCUGCCAUGUCAUCAGGUAUAUUACCUGUCCUGCCUAUGCCUGCGCUGCAGUGGACGACAAUGGGUGGCUCAGGGCACUGCCC